rnacentral:lncRNA from 1 species
GGCCUUCAUAGCUUCUCCCACUGCCCUGAGGUUUAUCUUGGGAUGUUAAGUUUCAGAGAGUUGGUUAUUUUUUAAAUAUUCCACCAUGACUUUGAGAGAGGAUCUGAGUCUCCUGUUCCUUGGAGCUUGAGAGGCCGUGUACAUCCUAGACCAAAUGGACAUCUCGAAAAAGGCUGGGAACCCUCCUUGGUACACUUGGACGUUGUCCCCGAGAGCAUUAACAGCCUUAGCGGGGAUGACAAUGAAGUCUGUUAUUUAGCGAAGAGGCCAUGGAGUUUGACCUGCCAAACCAGCUCAAGGUUUCUCGAGUGGCACAAAAUAUUAUCAAAGAUGAGAACAUUACGAGAUAGAUUUUGAUGUGUGUGGAAUAAUCAAAGAUGUUUUGAUGAUUGUAAGACCACAUCGGACCAGUGUUCAGUGUUGAUGACAUCGGCCAAGUCUUUGGGGAGGGUAGGUUUUUGACUCCAGUGACAAUCUAUAGAAGGCACCAUCACAUCACCAAAGGAAACAUACUAAUUCUACUGUUCCUUGACAGAGGGAUAUGCAUAGAUACUGUCAGCAAAGAGCAAAGGCAUAUCUGAGAACAAGAUUCGUCAAUCCUAAUGGCAAACAAAUCGUAGUUAUCAUAUUUGGCAAUGACAUACAAUGUCCAGA